GAGACAGCAGUCGCCGCGGUAAUACGAAGGGGGCUAGCGUUGCUCGGAAUGACUGGGCGUAAAGGGCGCGUAGGCGGAUUGUUUAGUUAGGCGUGAAAUUCCUGGGCUUAACCUGGGGACUGCGCUUAAUACAGGCAGUCUAGAGCGAGGAAGAGGGUUGUGGAAUUCCCAGUGUAGAGGUGAAAUUCGUAGAUAUUGGGAAGAACACCGGUGGCGAAGGCGGCAACCUGGUCCUUGACUGACGCUGAGGCGCGAAAGCGUGGGGAGCAAACAGGAUUAGAUACCCCGGUAGUCCCUGUCUCUUAUAC
rnacentral:rRNA from 1 species